GGCCCUUCGGGGUACACGAGCGGCGAACGGGUGAGUAACACGUGGGUGAUCUGCCUCGCACUCUGGGAUAAGCCUGGGAAACUGGGUCUAAUACCGGAUAUGACCUUACAUCGCAUGGUGUUUGGUGGAAAGAUUUAUCGGUGCGAGAUGGGCCCGCGGCCUAUCAGCUUGUUGGUGGGGUAAUGGCCUACCAAGGCGACGACGGGUAGCCGGCCUGAGAGGGCGACCGGCCACACUGGGACUGAGACACGGCCCAGACUCCUACGGGAGGCAGCAGUGGGGAAUAUUGCACAAUGGGCGAAAGCCUGAUGCAGCGACGCCGCGUGAGGGAUGACGGCCUUCGGGUUGUAAACCUCUUUCGACAGGGACGAAGCGCAAGUGACGGUACCUGUAGAAGAAGCACCGGCCAACUACGUGCCAGCAGCCGCGGUAAUACGUAGGGUGCGAGCGUUGUCCGGAAUUACUGGGCGUAAAGAGCUUGUAGGCGGCUUGUCGCGUCGAUCGUGAAAACUUGGGGCUCAACCCCAAGCUUGCGGUCGAUACGGGCAGGCUUGAGUACUUCAGGGGAGACUGGAAUUCCUGGUGUAGCGGUGAAAUGCGCAGAUAUCAGGAGGAACACCGGUGGCGAAGGCGGGUCUCUGGGAAGUAACUGACGCUGAGAAGCGAAAGCGUGGGUAGCGAACAGGAUUAGAUACCCUGGUAGUCCACGCCGUAAACGGUGGGUACUAGGUGUGGGUUUCCUUCCACGGGAUCCGUGCCGUAGCUAACGCAUUAAGUACCCCGCCUGGGGAGUACGGCCGCAAGGCUAAAACUCAAAGGAAUUGACGGGGGCCCGCACAAGCGGCGGAGCAUGUGGAUUAAUUCGAUGCAACGCGAAGAACCUUACCUGGGUUUGACAUACACCGGAAACCUGCAGAGAUGUAGCCCCCUUGUGGUCGGUGUACAG
rnacentral:rRNA from 1 species